CGUCCAAUGCAAAUCCAAUGCGGACGUUGCGGAGUCCAUUGCGUUGCGAGAAGCAGACAGCUCUCGAACAAAGGAUUGUACCUACGUUAAGUGUCAAACUUCAACGUCAGGCUGACGUUGCAUUAGCGACGACCGUGAAGUGUACUGCUUGCCAACUCAGCAUAGUUUUGUAUAACAGUUUCAUCCAUUGAAAAGUUAUAGGUUAUAAUUCUGUGAUAUUCAUUAGGUGCCCGUGCCCCCCAACAUGUGGCUGAAAAAAGCAGUCAAGGUUCUAAAGGUUUGAAACAGCCCAGGACUCCUUGGAUUGGAAGACAGGAAGAGCAGAUGGUUCUAAAACAAAUUAUAUCAUGUCCAAUGUACUGACCGUCUAAAGCACCAGAUAAAGAAACAUGAAGAAGGGUAACCUAACCCUUACUGCAAGUGAAGUUGGUGCUAGUUGUUUGCGAGCUCCUUUUGUUACUCAUGUGAUGUCAAUAGAUAGACUUGAAUAGA